UACGUAGGGUGCGAGCGUUGUCCGGAAUUAUUGGGCGUAAAGAGCGUGUAGGCGGCCAGGUAGGUCUGGUGUGAAAACUCGAGGCUUAACCUCGAGAUGUCAUCGGAAACCAACUGGCUAGAGUCCGGAAGAGGAGAGUGGAAUUCCUGGUGUAGCGGUGAAAUGCGCAGAUAUCAGGAAGAACACCAAUGGCGAAAGCAGCUCUCUGGGACGGUACUGACGCUGAGACGCGAAAGCGUGGGGAGCAAACAGG
rnacentral:rRNA from 1 species